rnacentral:rRNA from 1 species
CCUACGGGAGGCAGCAGUGGGGAAUAUUGCACAAUGGGCGAAAGCCUGAUGCAGCGACGCCGCGUGAGGGAUGACGGCCUUCGGGUUGUAAACCUCUUUCAGCAGGGAAGAAGCGAAAGUGACGGUACCUGCAGAAGAAGCGCCGGCUAACUACGUGCCAGCAGCCGCGGUAAUACGUAGGGCGCAAGCGUUGUCCGGAAUUAUUGGGCGUAAAGAGCUCGUAGGCGGCUUGUCACGUCGGGUGUGAAAGCCCGGGGCUUAACCCCGGGUCUGCAUUCGAUACGGGCUAGCUAGAGUGUGGUAGGGGAGAUCGGAAUUCCUGGUGUAGCGGUGAAAUGCGCAGAUAUCAGGAGGAACACCGGUGGCGAAGGCGGAUCUCUGGGCCAUUACUGACGCUGAGGAGCGAAAGCGUGGGGAGCGAACAGGAUUAGAUACCCUGGUAGUCCACGCCGUAAACGGUGGGAACUAGGUGUUGGCGACAUUCCACGUCGUCGGUGCCGCAGCUACGCAUAGUUCCGUCCGUCGGUAGGUACGGCCGCGACGACGUAAACUACAANAGAGUAGACGGCGNGAGACGUGCCGACGACGACGACGACGGGAGAGG